rnacentral:misc_RNA from 1 species
GUGGAAUUAUUACUGGUUCCCAGCUAAGGAUAUCAUUUGCAUGUCUAGUGGUAUCUCGUUUCUUGUGUUGAUUGGUCUUAGAGGUGUUCAACCAUAUGCCCCACUUCGGGUUAUGCGUCAACUAGCCAGAGUUCAAGAAAUCCCACCCAAUGAUGAUAUGAGUAAGUUUGCAUAUGACACUCCACCAAGUUUUGCUUUUAACAGCGAAGAGAUUAUGAAGAUUUGGUACGGGAGUAUUAUUUCUGAGCUAAGUGAAAUGGUUGUGGAGAAAGAUAAAGGAAAGGUGGUUCCUGGGUACCUAUCGUGGUUUCGUGAUCCGAUGACAUUUGGUGACACUCCUGAAGGAUCCAGCAGAAAAAGAAGAGAUCAACAUAUAAUAAGACAAUUGAAAAAAGAGUUGGAGAAGGCCAAAGCAACCAUUGCACGGCUAGAAGUACAAGUCCAAAGAAGAAAAAAUCACAAGUUAGAGUUGCAAGAUGUGGAAGGAGAAUUGAAGCAUGCAGAGGGAAGACUAGCCCGAUUGGAGGAGGAAUUGGAUAAUAGAAUCCACUUGGCACGACAGAUAAAAAGGGAGCAGAAUUU